rnacentral:rRNA from 1 species
GAUCAUGGCUCAGGAUGAACGCUAGCGACAGGCUUAACACAUGCAAGUCGAGGGGCAGCGGGGAGUAGCAAUACUCUGCCGGCGACCGGCGCACGGGUGAGUAACGCGUAUGCAACUUGCCUAUCAGAGGAGAAUAGCUCAUCGAAAGAUGAAUUAAUGCUCCAUGAAACAGGGGUCCCGCAUGGGAAUAUUUGUUAAAGAUUUAUCGGUGAUGGAUGGGG